GGCAACGAUACGUAGCCGACCUGAGAGGGUGAUCGGCCACACUGGAACUGAGACACGGUCCAGACUCCUACGGGAGGCAGCAGUAGGGAAUCUUCCGCAAUGGGCGAAAGCCUGACGGAGCAACGCCGCGUGAGUGAUGAAGGUCUUCGGAUCGUAAAACUCUGUUAUUAGGGAAGAACAAAUGUGUAAGUAACUGUGCACGUCUUGACGGUACCUAAUCAGAAAGCCACGGCUAACUACGUGCCAGCAGCCGCGGUAAUACGUAGGUGGCAAGCGUUAUCCGGAAUUAUUGGGCGUAAAGCGCGCGUAGGCGGUUUCUUAAGUCUGAUGUGAAAGCCCACGGCUCAACCGUGGAGGGUCAUUGGAAACUGGGAAACUUGAGUGCAGAAGAGGAAAGUGGAAUUCCAUGUGUAGCGGUGA
rnacentral:rRNA from 2 species